rnacentral:rRNA from 1 species
UACAGAGGUCUCAAGCGUUGUUCGGAUUCAUUGGGCGUAAAGGGUGCGUAGGCGGCGCGGUAAGUCGGGUGUGAAAUCUUCGGAGCUUAACUCCGAAACUGCAUUCGAUACUGCCGUGCUUGAGGACUGGAGAGGAGACUGGAAUUUACGGUGUAGCGGUGAAAUGCGUAGAUAUCGUAAGGAAGACCAGUGGCGAAGGCGGGUCUCUGGACAGUUCCUGACGCUGAGGCACGAAGGUCAGGGGAGCAAACGGGAUUAGAACCGUACCGUAGUCAAGU